rnacentral:lncRNA from 1 species
GGAGUUAGCGACAGGGAGGGAUGCGCGCCUGGGUGUAGUUGUGGGGGAGGAAGUGGCUAGCUCAGGGCUUCAGGGGACAGACAGGGAGAGAUGACUGAGUUAGAUGAGACGAGGGGGCGGGCUGGGGGUGCGAGAAGGAAGCUUGGCAAGGAGACUAGGUCUAGGGGGACCACAGUGGGGCAGGCUGCAUGGAAAAUAUCCGCAGGGUCCCCCAGGCAGAACAGCCACGCUCCAGGCCAGGCUGUCCCUACUGCCUGGUGGAGGGGGAACUUGACCUCUGGGAGGGCGCCGCUCUUGCAUAGCUGAGCGAGCCCGGGUGCGCUGGUCUGUGUGGAAGGAGGAAGGCAGGGAGAGGUAGAAGGGGUGGAGGAGUCAGGAGGAAUAGGCCGCAGCAGCCCUGGAAAUGAUCAGGAAGGCAGGCAGUGGGUGCAGGGCUGCAGGAGGGCCGGGAGGGCUAAUCUUCAACUUGUCCAUGCCAGCAGCCCCUUUUUUUCCAGACCAAGGGCUGUGAACCCGCCUGGGGAUGAGGCCUGGUCUUGUGGAACUGAACUUAGCUCGACGGGGCUGACCGCUCUGGCCCAGGGUGGUAUGUAAUUUUCGCUCGGCCUGGGACGGGGCCCAGGCCGGGCCCAGCCUGGUGGAGCGUCCAGGUCUGGGUGCGAAGCCAGGCCCCUGGGCGGAGGUGAGGGGUGGUCUGAGGAGUGAUGUGGAGUUAAGGCGCCAUCCUCACCGGUGACUGGUGCGGCACCUAGCAUGUUUGACAGGCGGGGACUGCGAGGCACGCUGCUCGGGUGUUGGGGACAACAUUGACCAACGCUUUAUUUUCCAGGUGGCAGUGCUCCUUUUGGACUUUUCUCUAGGUUUGGCGCUAAACUCUUCUUGUGAGCUCACUCCACCCCUUCUUCCUCCCUUUAACUUAUCCAUUCACUUAAAACAUUACCUGGUCAUCUGGUAAGCCCGGGACAGUAAGCCGAGUGGCUGUUGGAGUCGGUAUUGUUGGUAAUGGUGGAGGAAGAGAGGCCUUCCCGCUGAGGCUGGGGUGGGGCGGAUCGGUGUUGCUUGCCUGCAGAGAGGGUGGGGAGUGAAUGUGCACCCUUGGGUGGGCCUGCAGCCAUCCAGCUGAAAGUUACAAAAAUGCUUCAUGGACCGUGGUUUGUUACUAUAGUGUUCCUCAUGGCGAGCAGAUGGAACCGGGAGACAUGGAGUCCCUGGCCAGUGUGAGUCCUAGCAUUGCAGGAGGGGAGACCCUGGAGGAGAGAGCCCGCCUCAAUUGAUGCCUGCAGAUUGAAUUUCCAGAGGCUUAGGAGGAGGAAGUUCUCCAAUGUUCUGUUUCCAGGCCUUGCUCAGGAAGCCCUGUAUUCAGGAGGCUACCAUUUAAAGUUUGCAGAUGAGCUUAUGGGGGGCAAUCUUAAAAAGUCCACAGCAGAUGCAUCCGGCUCGAGGGGCCAUCAGCUUUGAAUAAAUGCUUGUUCCAGAGCCCAUGAAUGCCAGCAGGCACCCCUCCUUUCCUGGGGUAAAGGUUUUCAGAUGCUGCAUCUUCUAAAUUGAGCCUCCGGUCAUACUAGUUUUGUGCUUGGAACCUUGCUUCAAGAAGAUCCCUAAGCUGUAGAACAUUUUAACGUUGAUGCCACAACGCAGAUUGAUGCCUUGUAGAUGGAGCUUGCAGAUGGAGCCCCGUGACCUCUCACCUACCCACCUGUUUGCCUGCCUUCUUGUGCGUUUCUCGGAGAAGUUCUUAGCCUGAUGAAAUAACUUGGGGCGUUGAAGAGCUGUUUAAUUUUAAAUGCCUUAGACUGGGGAUAUAUUAGAGGAAGCAGAUUGUCAAAUUAAGGGUGUCAUUGUGUUGUGCUAAACGCUGGGAGGGUACAAGUUGGUCAUUCCUAAAUCUGUGUGUGAGAAAUGGCAGGUCUAGUUUGGGCAUUGUGAUUGCAUUGCAGAUUACUAGGAGAAGGGAAUGGUGGGUACACCGGUAGUGCUCUUUUGUUCUUGCUUCGUUUUUUUAAACUUGAACUUUACUUCGUUAGAUUUCAUAAUACUUUCUUGGCAUUCUAGUAAGAGGACCCUGAGGUGGGAGUUGUGGGGGACGGGGAGAAGGGGACAGCUUGGCACCGGUCCCGUGGGCGUUGCAGUGUGGGGGAUGGGGGUAUGCAGCUUGGCACUGGUACUGGGAGGGAUGAGGGUGAAGAAGGGGAGAGGGUUGGUUAGAGAUACAGUGUGGGUGGUGGGGGUGGUAGGAAAUGCAGGUUGAAGGGAAUUCUCUGGGGCUUUGGGGAAUUUAGUGCGUGGGUGAGCCAAGAAAAUACUAAUUAAUAAUAGUAAGUUGUUAGUGUUGGUUAAGUUGUUGCUUGGAAGUGAGAAGUUGCUUAGAAACUUUCCAAAGUGCUUAGAACUUUAAGUGCAAACAGACAAACUAACAAACAAAAAUUGUUUUGCUUUGCUACAAGGUGGGGAAGACUGAAGAAGUGUUAACUGAAAACAGGUGACACAGAGUCACCAGUUUUCCGAGAACCAAAGGGAGGGGUGUGUGAUGCCAUCUCACAGGCAGGGGAAAUGUCUUUACCAGCUUCCUCCUGGUGGCCAAGACAGCCUGUUUCAGAGGGUUGUUUUGUUUGGGGUGUGGGUGUUAUCAAGUGAAUUAGUCACUUGAAAGAUGGGCGUCAGACUUGCAUACGCAGCAGAUCAGCAUCCUUCGCUGCCCCUUAGCAACUUAGGUGGUUGAUUUGAAACUGUGAAGGUGUGAUUUUUUCAGGAGCUGGAAGUCUUAGAAAAGCCUUGUAAAUGCCUAUAUUGUGGGCUUUUAACGUAUUUAAGGGACCACUUAAGACGAGAUUAGAUGGGCUCUUCUGGAUUUGUUCCUCAUUUGUCACAGGUGUCUUGUGAUUGAAAAUCAUGAGCGAAGUGAAAUUGCAUUGAAUUUCAAGGGAAUUUAGUAUGUAAAUCGUGCCUUAGAAACACAUCUGUUGUCUUUUCUGUGUUUGGUCGAUAUUAAUAAUGGCAAAAUUUUUGCCUAUCUAGUAUCUUCAAAUUGUAGUCUUUGUAACAACCAAAUAACCUUUUGUGGUCACUGUAAAAUUAAUAUUUGGUAGACAGAAUCCAUGUACCUUUGCUAAGGUUAGAAUGAAUAAUUUAUUGUAUUUUUAAUUUGAAUGUUUGUGCUUUUUAAAUGAGCCAAGACUAGAGGGGAAACUAUCACCUAAAAUCAGUUUGGAAAACAAGACCUAAAAAGGGAAGGGGAUGGGGAUUGUGGGGAGAGAGUGGGCGAGGUGCCUUUACUACAUGUGUGAUCUGAAAACCCUGCUUGGUUCUGAGCUGCGUCUAUUGAAUUGGUAAAGUAAUACCAAUGGCUUUUUAUCAUUUCCUUCUUCCCUUUAAGUUUCACUUGAAAUUUUAAAAAUCAUGGUUAUUUUUAUCGUUGGGAUCUUUCUGUCUUCUGGGUUCCAUUUUUUAAAUGUUUAAAAAUAUGUUGACAUGGUAGUUCAGUUCUUAACCAAUGACUUGGGGAUGAUGCAAACAAUUACUGUCGUUGGGAUUUAGAGUGUAUUAGUCACGCAUGUAUGGGGAAGUAGUCUCGGGUAUGCUGUUGUGAAAUUGAAACUGUAAAAGUAGAUGGUUGAAAGUACUGGUAUGUUGCUCUGUAUGGUAAGAACUAAUUCUGUUACGUCAUGUACAUAAUUACUAAUCACUUUUCUUCCCCUUUACAGCACAAAUAAAGUUUGAGUUCUAAACUCAUUAGAAUUGUUGUAUUGCUAUGUUACAUUUCUCGACCCCUAUCACAUUGCCUUCAUAACGACUUUGGAUGUAUCUUCAUAUUGUAGAUUUAGGUCUAGAUUUGCUAGCUCCAAGUAAUUAAGGCCAUGUAGGAGAGCAUGGUAACCACAGAUAGAACUGGUAUUAUCCCAAGUGGUCUGCAGACUGCUGAGUGGGGAUGGGAUCUGCUCUCUGUUGAGAGUUGGUAAUCAUUGGUUUGAAAUGUGAUGAAACCACUCAAGCCAAUGAAGGUGGGUGUGUAGGUGGGGAGUACUUUGCCAUAAUAUUUUAAAACAUUACCUGGUUAGAGUUCUAAGUGGUACUUAUUUUUGUUUGGUUAGGGGAAAGCCUGAAUAAAAACAGAAAUGGACACAUAAUAUGCAUAUUCCAUAGUCUUUGGGAGGCUGGAAUGUGCCUGGGAUUUGGGUCUAAGUGUAUGCGUAAUUCUUACCUCACUAAAGAAUUUGCCUUGUUUUUUUCCUUUUGGUGAGUGACUAAAACGUCUGGGCUUCCCUGUGUGCGUGCUACAGUAAGCAAGCAGAGGCUGUGCAAAGGUGUGAGCAGGAUCACGUGGAAUCUGGAGGAUACAUCUUGGCUUGCAAACUGCCUCUGUCUCCUGGGUGGGACUGUUCUGUCCUUGCACUGCUGUUCUGUGUUACCUCUUGGGGUGUAAGGUUUUGCUUACAGGAGACAAACUUUGGGCGUAGAAUGGAAGCCACUGCCAGCCUCUGUGCUGAGAAGGAAGGUGCUUGUUUCAAAGGGAGCAGCAAGGGAGGCUUGUUCUACUCACCUGGGCCUGUUUGCCUGAGAAGGGGAGAUAAGGGCUGAACUGGGACUAGCCAGGGGGACCAACACAAAUGGUGGGGGAUCAUGACCUGAAGGAUUCUUUCCUUCCCAUGAGCUGCAGGGCUGGUUGCCGUCCUUGCAACUGUGUCUUAUUUGCCUGUGCCGUUAUAUCUUGGUGACCCCUCCACGUGUACACUACUGACAAACGGGUGGAGUGCUGGGGAGAAGUCACUGUGCCGCCCACCUAGUAAACCUUCUGUCUGUGCUCAUGGCAUCUCCAAGAUGGGGCACUGCUGUGUGCAGAAUCCAGGGUCCUCUUUCUGCUUGCAACUCCUUUCCCUGGAUGCCCCAGAAACAAUCCAGGCCUCCUUUCCUAUCUUACCCCUUUGCUUUGCUUUUUACCCCAGCACCUCUAUAACCGCCUUCUCUUCUUUUCAGAACUCCUUGUUUCUCGUCCUGUUUUUUAUGAUUACAAAACUCUUGCUUCCACCCUGGAAGAUAACUGCUAUAGAUGCCUGUAUGUAAAUGGUGCUGUCUCCAGCAACUGGCAUGCUGAAGAAGAAUUGAUUCACGGGGUAUAAAUGUUGGGGAUUGGAAGUGGGGAUGAAAUGGCACUUGUUGAUACAGGAGCAGAGAGGUGAGGCCGACUGCUGAAGACAGCUCGCCACCCUCCUUGCCUCCACUCCAAUCCAGGGGCUGGGGCCACAUUCUUUGCCUUCAUUUAUCCUCAGAUCAGGUGAGAUCGACAGGAGGUGUUGAUGGCAGUGCCAGCAAUUAUUGCUAAUCCGUUUGCAUCCUUAUGCAUAGAUCUGAAUUCAGACUUUGUGAAUUUCCAGAGGUGUGGGUAAUAUAAUAGAAUUCAGUGAGUGGGCAUGGCUGAUCUUGUGCAAAUUAAAAGUUAUGGGGCAUAAGAAUAGCAAAAGUUGAACUUCUUUUAAAAAGGAAAGUACCCUGAGAGCCAGUAUUGGUUGAGGCUCUUCAGUAUGCCCAGGUUGGCAGCACUGAGAACCGCAGGAACGGCCUGUUGUUACAAAAAGGAGAUUGACUCAGCUGCCCUUGGUGCAUCUGACUGACUAUGACUGCUGAGAGAUUCCAAGGACCCUUAAUGCCAGGGCUAACCUCUCCAUGUGCAGUGAGACCUCUGGAGGAAGUGUCAUCCUCUGGCUUUGUGUGGUACUCAUUAUGGUGCAGUGCGGGCAUGAAAUGAAGACACCCAAAUAGGCUUACAGAUACGAUAUGUUUUAAAUGUUCGUAUUUAACAAAAACAUACUGACACUGUUUGGAAAUGGCAACAGGAAGAUAGCAAAAUGAAUACUAACAUUACGAAAAGAUGAACAGGUACAUGUUCCAAGGCAGGUGGCUGUGAACUUCCUCUGAGUGAAGGCAUCCCCUCCAGCACCUUUCAGCCUGCUAGUUAGGACGACCCGCCGCCACCCUCCAGGACCUCCAGCCCUGCACUGCCUUUCCUCUCUUUUAAAUAAUUCUUCAUUGAGUUCUAAUAUGUAAAAAAAAAAAGUUUACUGUAAAGUUUGCAAAUAAGGAAAUUUUUUUUAAAAGUCCUCAGUAAUCUUACCAGUAACAAUUGUUAUGGGCACAUUUGCUUUUGGAAGAUUUCUUUUGUAUGCAUGGGAUAAGUACAUUUUUAAACAAAAAUGGGAUUAUGCCAUAAAUUCUAUUUUGUGACUUUAAUAUAUAGUGAACACCUUUUUUAAUGAUGACAGGAUGUUCCCUUGCAUGGCUGUAUCAAUUUAAACAAUCUUGUUUCAAUGGGCAUACAGGGUAUUUUCUAGUUUUUUUUUCCUCUUAGAAAAUAAUACUUGCGAUGACUUUCCUUGUAGCUCAGACUUUUUCACGUCUGUUGUUAUCUCUUUGGGAAUGCUGAAUACAUACAUUUCGAGAAGGAAAUGACUGUUAAACUCUUAAGACUUCAGGUUCAUAUUGCUAAACUGCCCAGCAGGGAGGGAUUUUUUCAAUUAGUGUUCUCACUGGUGAGGCAAACCUGAUGCCUUCCCCUCUUCCUCAGAACCGGCUUUAUCACAUUGAAAACCUUUGCUCCUCCGACGGAUCGAGUCUGCUUUCCCUCUGGAUGUGAGCAUUGCUUUGUCUGCUGGUGACUGAACAUCUCUACCUUGUGUCAAUUGGCCAUUUGUGGUGUGUGUGUGUGUGCGUGUGUGUGUGUGUGUGUGUGUAUGAUUUUCUAAUUCCUAGUCAUUUUUCUAUUGAUUGUUUUGCAAAAGCCAUUUACAUCUUAAGGAUAUUGAUAAUCUUUUGUUAUAUUUGAUGCAAAUAUUUUUUUCCAGUUUAUAGGUUGCCUUUUAAUUUUGUGUUUCAGGUAGAUAAAAGUUAAACGAUUUUCUUAGGUUAGUUUAUCACUGUGGUUUCUGAACUUGUUAUGUGUAGAUCUUUUCCACCCCAAGAGUACAUAAAUAUUAAUCCAUACUUUCUUAUGGAACUUGUAUGGUUUCGUUUUUUACAUUUAAACCUUCUUCCCCGUGGUGUGUGUUGUGGAAUCUGUGUUUGUGUGAGGAGGGGCAUGGUGCUCUCAGAACCCACCUCCUGUGGCCAGAGAGCCCUGUCCUGUGAGGGUGGUUGUCACAGUGGCAGGGUUCAAUUCAGAAGACCUUGAGGGCAGGCUGAUGUUUCCUGAAUGGGCCCCUGGUUGUUGCUUGUCCCUGACUCUCCAUUUCCCCAUCUGAGUGGAUUUGGACCUAAUAGGGCACUGGAGCUGGUUCGAAUCCUGACUGGACUACUUGGCAACUUUAUGUCUGGGAGCAAGUUACUUAACCUCCCCAAGCCUGUGUCUGUGAAAUGCGGGUAAAUGAAUGUAGAUGUUUGGCAGCAGCUACUCCUUGUUGAGCUCUCACAGUGAACUCUCCUGCCUCUGCCCUCCUUCCCCGCCUCCCCUGGUGCCUAGCGUCAGGUCUAGCCACUUCCUCCUGGGCCCCUCUCCCUUUUCUGUGGCUGGCUGCCUGCCCGCCUGGCGCUGGACCUUUCAUGUAACGGGAAUCAGCAUGUAUAUUCUGGUCUGGUCUGUUUCUACACUUAAUUUUGUUUCCAGUAGUAUUUCCCUGUACCGGCAGAGUUCACAAACACAUUUGAAGAGGCUUUUUCUCAGGAUUCUUAACCUUCCCAAAGGAAGUCCCAUGGAUGGGUUUCUAGAAGUCUAUAAAUGCUCUGAAAUUGUAUUUUUCUGUGGAAAGCAUAACUUUCAUCUGCUUGUUCGUGCUCAAAAAAGAUCAUGAAUGAAUGAUUGCAUGAUUUUAUGCCAUUGUGCUUAUACUAAAGGAUAUGUAGCCCAUCUCUUGAGCUGUUAAACUGUUUUGACUACUUUAAAUCGUGCAGCUGUGAGCAUCUCUGUAAAUUUAGUGUACACAUGUAUCCCCUGGAGUGGCAUUGCCUCGGCAGUGAGCACUUAUGGUUUUAUAACUCUCUUCACAGACUCAAAUGACUCCAGAAAGCUACACUUCCUGUUGUGAGUAUAUGAUAUCCAUUUCCCUACAUAGCCACUAACAUCAGGUUUUUACAAUUUUAUUUAUUUCUUGCUACUUUAAGAAAUUUUUGUGGUGAAAUACAUAUAAUAGAAGUUGACUAUCUGAAUCAUUUUUAAGUAUACAUUCAGUAGUGUUAAGUAUGUCGCCAUUGUUGUACAACCAAUCUCCAGAACUUUUUCAUCUUGCAAAACAAACUCUGUACCCAUUAAAUAACAUUAAACAUUCCAUUCCCUCCAGCCUCAGCAACCCCAUUCUACUUUCUGUUUCUGUGAGUUUGACUAUUCCAAGCACUUCAUAUCAGUUAAAUCAUGAAGUAUUUGUCUGUCUGUGACUGGCUUAUUUCUCUGAGCACAGUGUCCUCGAGAUGCGUCUAUGUUGUAGCAUAUGUCAGAAUUUCCUUCCUUUUUAAAAGAUCCAAAUAAUAUUCUUAUUUUAUAUCUUUUUUUUAUCCAUUCAUCCAUUAGUGGACACUUGGGUUGCUUUUGGCUAUUGUAAAUAAUGGUGCUAUGUACAAAUAUCUAUAUUAUUGUAUUUACAAGUAUAAUGCUGUAAUGUACACACAUCUUUUUGAGAUCCUACCUUCAGUUCUUUUGAGUAUAUAGCCAGAAGUGGUAUUACUAAAUCUUACGAUAUUUCUAUUUUUAAUUUAUUGAGGAACCACUGUAGUUUUUCAUAGCAACUGCACCAUUUUACGUUCUCACCAAGAGUGCACAAGGGUUCCGAGGUUCCCACAUCCUCCCCAACACUUGUUAUUUUCUGCUUUUUUUAGAUUGCAGCCAUCAUAGUGGGUGUGAGGUGACAUUUCAUUGUGGUUUUGAUUUGCAUUUCCCUAAUGAGGAGUGAUGCUGAGCAUCUUUUCAUAUGCUUACUGGUCAUUUGUAUGUUGUCUUUGGAAAAAUGUCUAUUCAAGUCCUUUGACUAUUUUAAAAAUUGGGUUAUUAGAGUUAUCGUUGUUGUUGACUUGUAGGAGUUUCUUUCUAUAUUCUGGAUAUUAAUCCCCUAUCAGAUAUAUGAUUUGCAAAUAUCUUCUCUUAUUCCAUAAGGUUACUUUUUCACUUUGUUGAUUGUGUUCUUUGAUGUAUAGAAGUUUUUAGUUUUGAAAUAGUCUAAUUUAUCUGUUUUUACUUUUGUGGUCUGUGCUUUUGGUGUCAUAUCCAAGAAAUCCUUGCCAAAUCCAACGUUAUAAGGUACUUUUAAGGUAUUUUAGUUGUCUUAGUCUAUAUUUCUGUACUCACCUUUCUUUAUCCACUCAUCAGUUGAUGGGCAUGUAGGUUGGUUCCAUAUCUUUGCAAUUCUGAAUUGUGCUAUGAUCAGGUGUCUUUUUAGUAUAAUGAUUUACUCUCCUUUGGGUAGAUACCCAGUAGUGGGAUUGCUGGAUCGAAUGGUUUUUAUAAUUUUCUAUUUUACCACAGUUUCUCUCUGCAUUUUUCCUCUUUGACCACUAACCAUGUGAAAUUCUCAUAUUGACCUUUAUAAUGAUCAUGAACUCUUAGUAUCAUUGGGAAGGCCACAUUUGCCACUUAUGAUUGUAAACCUUAUCCUCCAUUUUUCCUGUUAUUGUUGGUGCAAAAAGCACCUAUUAUACCAGGACUUUAAAAAUCAGUCUGAUAAGUCUUUGAUAAGUCUAAUAAUAAUAACUGAUAAGUCCAUUGAAUUUGCUUCUGAUUACUUUUUCUUUAGUAGCUAAACAUGUAUGUACUCCUAUGAUUACAAUGAACACUCCUCUCCAUUUAAAUUAAUUAUUUACAUUGAUGAAAUAGCAAAAUGUUAAUGACUAAAUACUGUCUUGGUUUUUUCGUUCCAGGUCAGUCAAUAUUAACUUCUUAUAAUUUUCUUUUUUUUCUUUAUGUGUGUGUGUGUGUGUAUUUUUUUUUUUUUAAUUUCAAUGGCUUUUGGGGUACAAAUGGCUUUUGGUCAUAUAGAUGAAUUCUACAGUAGUGAAGUCUGAGAUUUUACUGCACCGGUCACCUGAGUAGUGUACAUUGUACCCAAUAUGUGGUUUUUUAUACCUUGCCCCCCUCUUACCCUCCCCACUUUGAGUCUCUAGUGUCCAUUAUGUCACUCUGUAUACCUUUUUGUACCCAUAAGUUAGCUCUCACUUAUAAGUGAGAACACACAGUAUUUGGUUUUCCAUUCCUGAGUUGCUUCACUUAGAAUAAUAUCCUCCAGCUCCAUCCAAAAUUGCUGCAAAAAAAAAAAAAACCACAAACAUUAUUUUGUUCUUUUUUAUUGCUAAGUCAUAUUCCAUGGUGUAGAGAUACCACAUUUUAUUUAUCCACUCACUGGUUGAUGGGUUGGUUCCACAUCUUUGCAAUUGUGACUUGUACUGCCAUCAAGUGUCUUUCUGGUAUAAUGACUUCUUUUCCUUUGGGUAGAUACCCAGGAGUGGGAUUGCUAGAUCAAAUGGUUCUUAACAUUUUCUCUCUGGAUCUAUUUCUGGAAAUUUUAGGCUCCAGUUUUUGUUGUUGUUGUUAAUAAAAUGCAAUGGAAUGUAAUGAUCAUCACUUUUCAUUAUGCUUUAAAAUCUGGUAAAUGGAGGCUAGAACACUCCUGUAAGGCAAGAAUAUUCUCUCUGUUGGAACUCAAAUACACAGAACUGGGUAAAUCUCAAUCUUAAUCUUUGAUUCAGGACACAACAUGGCUCUCUUUUACUUGCUUUCUUUAAUUGUUUUUUAAUAAUGUGGUAAGCAUUUCUGAAUCUCCUAUCCAAUACAAAAACUAGGACAAUACAGACAGUAACUCCUAUGGUUACAAUGAACACUCCUCUCCACUUAAAUUAAUUAUUUACACUGAUGAAAUUGAAAUAGCAAAAUUUUAAUGACUAAAUACUGUCUUUGAUUUUUUGUUCCAGGUCUGUCAAUAUUAACUUCUUAUAAUUUUCUUUUUUUUUCUUUAUGUGUGUGUGUGUGUGUGUAUAUAUAUAUAUUUAAUUUCAAUGGCUUUUGGGGUACAAAUGGCUUUUGGUCAUAUAUAUGAGUUCUACAGUAGUGAAGUCUGAGAUUUUACUACACCUUCCACUUAUGUGGUCCCACACCACCCGCCUCCCCUGCCGCCUCCUGCCACCCCCUAGGCCAAGGUAAUAAUCAUCCUGAAUCCUGGGUUUAUCUCUCACUUGCUUUCUUUUCAUAUAAUUUUGCAAAAGAAUCUGAUCUAAAUGUGUUUUUCAGAGUAUAUAUUUAUAUUUUAGCUGUUCUUAGAGAAAAUUUAUUAUUUUGCAUGUAAUCUUAUGGAACAUUCUCAUUUAAUACCAUGGUAAGAUUCAGCCCUUGCCCAGGGGAUAGUUCAUUUAGUUUGUUUACUGGAUAGAGCUCAUCAUGUGACUAUACCUCAGUUAGUUUAUCAGUUCUCCCAUCCAUGGUGACUAGGUUGCCUCUCAGCCUCUCAACAACACUGUUUCUCAGUGUCCUUGUAGAAGUGAUAUGUGGGUGUUUUCUCCUUACACAGAGUUGAAAGGUGACGACAACAACGUUGGCACUACCAAUCCCCCACCCUCCAGAGGGGUAACCAGUGUUACCAGUUUGCUGUGUUUCCUGCUACACCUCGCCUUAUUCACUUCCAUUUGUAUCUGAAAAACGUGUUGCAUGGUUUCUUUUCUAUAGAAGUGGUAAAAUGCUAUUGUGUCCUGUACAUUAUUGAUUACUUUUUUUCAUUUAACAGUAGGGAGAUGCCUGGGAGUACACAGAGAACUGCCCUCAUUGUUUUCAACUUCUGCACUGUAUGUCUGUGAGUUUAGCCAUUCUGCUGUUAAUGGAAAUUUACAGUAUUCUAAUCUUUUGAUAUUACAAACAGUUCUGUGCGAUCAUCGUCAUACACAACCCCUUGUGCACAAUGCAUGAGUGUUUCUCAGGGUAGGUACCAAGAAGUGAAAUUCCUGGGUCAUAGGGCGUGAGUCCGACAUUUUUCUCCAUUCUGCCCUGUUGCCCUCCAGAGUGGGUGUCCAGCUUUGCAUACCUAAGUAUGAGAGUAUCUGUUGUUCAUAUCCUCUACGACGCUCCAUAUAUGAAACUUAAGUUUCUGCUAGUUGCCAUCUUUGAUCUAUCAUGUAUGCAGUGACCUACUAAGACUGUAAUUGGUACAGUAGAUUCUUGUCAUCUGUGUGUGAAUUUAGCAUUCAUGGGCUUAAUGCUGACAAGGCCCCCAGGGUCCAAGACAUAUAAUCAUGUAUAAUUUUGUCAAGGUAUAAUUUUUUAAAUUGCUUUUGUCAUGUGUCUGCUGGUGAUGCCCAACCCAGUGCUCUGCACCCAGGUCACACUGUGGCUUUGUCCUCUGCUUAUGCCUGCAUUGCAGCAACUGUCCUGAAGAGACCAAAAUUAUGCAGAUUUAGGUAAGUCCAUGGCUAAUGUUAUUAUAUUAUGUGCUAUUGUAAUGGAUGGGGCUGUGGAGUGUAUGAAUUUAUAAAUCACUGGUCUUGUAAUUAAAAUUCAAACACUAUAGAAAAAGGCCAUGUAGAAGAUAAAAGUUCCUCUAUAAUCCCGGACCCCUAAGAUAACUACUAAUGACAACUUCAUUUAUAUUCCUUCAGACAUUUUCUGGCUGUGGAUGUACUAAAAUGUAUCCUAUUAUUCUCUGCCCUAAAAUGGAAUCAUACAAGGUGUACUGUUAUUUUUAUGGCUCUAUAACAUGUCAUAUUGUACGUGUUGGUAUGGUCAUUUUAACCAUUUUUCUAGUGAUGGCUUUGAGGUUAUUUGCAGUUUCCUAGCCAUCUCAAAGUGUGCUGCGGGGAUCUCUUUUGCAUCCCUCUGGGUGCAGAGCUGAGGCACCCAGAGGCAGUGUCCAGAGGAGGCAGCAUCUGUAGGUGUCUUCACCUGCUCUGGCUCUUGGCACAUCUGGUUGGUGACACUGUUUUGUGAGAUGGGUUGAAAGCACGUGCUGCCAAAAUAGAAUAAUGUUGGUCCUCUCCUCAUGUGCCGUGGAACUGGGGUAAAACUGCGUAGUGGCUGCAGCUGCCUGUCCAUACCGGAAUCGAGUAUAACACGGUGCCUGGCUUAGCACAAAACAGUAGUGGGUCCUGCAGGCCCCAGAGUCUAAUUCCUGGUAUUCUUUCCCCUACACAGAUUAAAUAAACCAAAAACAAACUAUUCUAGGAAAGCGUCUGUGACAUUUGUAAAAAGUGGUAUUUAAUGAUCUUUUAUUCACUUGUCUGUUUAGUUUGUUGAAAUCUUAAGUGGCAUCCUGGUCUGGGAAGGAGUGCUGUCUGCGCCUGCCCUCCGCUGGGCACAGCGUGGCUGCUUCAGGGGCUAAGCACACACUUUCUGUCUUCUAAAGGGCCGCCACAUGCCAGGAGCUCAGGUGUGAGCCCGGCUCUGGCUCUUACCUCAUAGGGUCACUCAUAGGGGCACAGGGAGCAGAACAUUGUACACAGCGAGGCACCACCCGGCUUGGCAUCUGCCUCGGUGGACUUACUACCUCUAGAAGGAAAUACCUGAGUUCCUCUGGCCUCAGCUCCUAGAGUGACUGGUGUGCUGUCCCUGUUACUCUUCUGUCAAGGUGACAACUGUGUGACCCAUCAUCUGUGUGUCAAAGCAAGGCCCUGCCUGGGCCUCUGCUCCUGUGCUGACCCCAAAGGCAAAUGCUUUGCUAGUUUCCUUCCAGUUAAUUUCACCUAUGAAUAGAUGUGUGAAAACUGUUCAAAGCCAUACCUGCACAUGUUUGAACUUCAAACCCUGUGGGUGAUUCAGUGGCAUCUUUCUCUAACCCCCAGCCUCCCUUCCCACAGAGGCCACCGUCAUGGCCAGUUGCUGCAGUUUCUUUCCAGAGAACCUGUGUAUGUGUAAAGCUGUACAGGCGUGGGUACACCACACAGCCUGUCUUGCACUGUGGACUGUUGAGUUACUAGUACAUCUAGGUAAGCACCGCAUAUCUGUAUUCAUGUCUGCCUUGGUCUUUUCAACAUCUGUGUGGUAGCCGUGUUUGAAUUACCCAUUCCCUUUUUGGGGAACCAUUAAGUUGUUUCAGCAAUUUUUACUGUAGAUAAGGCUAUACCGCAUAUCUGUGUACAUGGGUUUUUAUGUACAUGGGCAAGUAUAUCUGUGAGAGAAAAGUUUCCUCAGGAGGAAUUCUGGGCACAGCAUGUGUAAAUUUCUAAAUAUGAUGGACACCCCCAGCUUCCACCUCAAGGAGGUUGGUCCCAUUGACAUUUCCCCACACCUUCACCCAGGCUGUGCCCUUAAACUUGGUUAUUUGUCAAUGUGAGAAGUGGAAAAUAGUAUUUAAUUGUAGUUUGGAUUUGUAUUUCUAUUGGGUUGUAUACUUACUGAUUAAUAAUAAGAGCUCUUUACAUAUUAAGGAAAUUAACCCUUUUCAAAUACAUUCCUAUUUCUCACUAAUCUUUAAGUUUUAUUGUAAUAUUUUGCUCUUUAGUUUAUAUAUAUAUGUAUAUAUAUAUAUAUGUAUAUAUAUAUAUAUACAUAUAUAUAUACAUAUAUAUAUACUAAUUUUCUUUUAUGGUUCCUGGAUUUUGUGAGUAGUUUGAAAAGGCUAAUCCAGCUGAAGAUUUUGUUGUUGUUGUUAAACCCCAUGUUUUCUCCUAACUCUUUUUAUUUUUAUUUUGGAGGACUCUAUCUAGACUUAAUUUUAGCAUAACAAGUGACAGGGUUAGUUAGCCUGUUGUCCUUACACCAUUUUCUGGCUAAUACAGCUAUUAACUAUUGAUCUGUCUAUUCACGUGCCAGUUCCUAAUGGUUUUACAUAGUGUAAUCUGCACUUCAAAAUAGCGAAGGGAAGCCCUACCUCAUUAUUCUACUUUUCCAGAAUUCUCCUGGCUAUUCCAGGCUGCAUGUUUACCUUAACCUUCCCUGUGAUGUCUUCAUGCCGUUGUCUUCUUAUGCAAGAAUAAGGUACGUCUUUCCAUCCACUCACGUCUAUUUAAUUUGACUUUGCAUUACACAGAAAGCUGGUCUUGGUCUGUCUACCUCGGCAUCUAGUUGUCCUCACUGCCCCCUAGCCGACCCCACCCCAUCUGACUGACUACCCCAUCACAGAGUACUUUUAUUUACGUUUUGCUCUGCCUAAUGGUUACUUGAUACUGUCACGCCGACAGUGUCCAGUUCAGUGGUCUUUGCAGUUGAAAUGCUCCCGUACACACUGUCUUGUUAAAAAUGCCAGUAAGUUCAUACAAACCCAGCUUGCACCCAAGGUCACAUUCAGAGAGCGUAGGGCUGGGAUGGGUUGUUUUCCAAGCUUCUGCCACUGUGUGGCUAGCUCUUCCCACUGGGAAGUUCUGUGUACCCGGAAUGUCGGAGUGGAGUCCUGUUCUAGUGUCCAGCACCUGACCCUGUGCCCAACCCCUCAACAGCCUAUUCCUGCUGUCCACAGCCUGCUGGAACUUUUUACAAAAUAUGUUGCCAUGCUGGACCCUGGGCACUGGACAUAAGCCCCCUGGCAGCCUUUUUCAUGUCACCCAAAGGGGUAAUUGUCCUACUGGUGGUCUGUAAGAUGAGUUAGGGUGACUUGCUAAUAGACAUUGUAAAUCUUAAUAUUUAUGUAUGUAUUUUAUUAUUACCGGUUUUCCAUUUAUGAUGGUAAUAUUGUUUCUUCUAAGAAUAUUUAUUUUUCCUUCUAAAUAUUGAGAUAAAAUUCAUGCUUUUGAAAUGUUCUAUUCAGUGGCUUUUAGUAUAUUUGCUAUGUUGUGCAACCAUCGACACUAUCCAUUUCUAGAACUUUUUCGUCAUCCCAAACAGACGCUCUGUAUUCAUAAAAAAAUAACUUCCUACCUGUCUCUCCCCCUAGUCUUUGGUAACCUUUGUUAUACUGGUAAACUUUGUUGUGCUCUCUGUCUGUGUGAAUUUGCCUAUUCUAGGGGCCUCAUAUAAGUGUAAUCAUACAGUAUUUGUCUUUUUGGGUCUGUCUGAUUUCACUUAGCGGGUUUUCAGGGUUCAUUCAUGUUGCAGCAUAUAACAGUACUGCGUUCCUUUUUCUGGCUGAAUAAUAUUCCACUGUAUGGAUAGACCCCAUUUUGUUUAUUCACACAUCAUUUGGACAUUUGGAUUAUUUCUGGUUUUUGGCUAUUAUGAACAAUGGUGCUAUGAACAGUUGCGUACAAGUUUUUGUGUGAACAUAUGUUUUCAAUUCUCUCAUUAUAUACCUAGGAGUAGAAUUACUGGGUCAUAUGGUAACUGUAUAUUUUUGAGGAACUGCCAAACUAUUUUCCCACGUCCAUGCACCAUUUCACAUUCCCACCAGUAAGUAAGAGGGUUCCAAUUUCUGCGCAUUCUUGCCAACACUAGUUAUUAUCUGACUUUCUGGUUAUAAUCAUUCUAAUGAGUGUGAAGUAGCCUCUGGUGUCAUUUGGAUUUGCAUUUCUCUGAUGAGUGAUGCUAUCAAGCACCUUUGCUGGUGCUGUUGGCCAUAUGUGUAUGUUCCCUGGAGAAGUGUCUGUGCUGAGCCUUGGCCCACUUUUUAAUUAGGCGUUUGUCUUUUUAUUACUGAGUUGUAAGAGUUCUUUAUAUAUUCUGGAUUCUAGACCCUUAUCAGAUACAUGGUUUGCAAAUAUUUUCUCCCAUUCUGUGGGUUGUGUUUUCACUUUAUCGAUAAUGUCCUUAGACAUAUAAUAAAUUUGUAUUUUAAAAGUGACUUGAUUUGGCUGUGCAAGGUGGCUCACGCUUGUAAUCCCAGCACUUUGGGAGACUGAGGUGGGUGGAUCAUAUGAGGAGGCUAGGAGUUCGAGGUCAGCCUGGCCAGCAUAGCGAAAACUUGUCUCUACUAAAAAUACAAAAAUUAGUCAGGCAUGGUGGUGCACGUCUGUAAUACCAGCUUCUCAGGAGGCUGAGGCACGAGGAUCACUUGAACCCAGGAGGAGGAGGUUGCAGUGAGCUGAGAUCAUGCCAGGGCAACAGAAUGAGACUUUGUUUAAAAAAAAAAAAAAGUGACUUGAUUUAAGGGAAAAAAUGACUGGCUAUAUUCAGUCAGAUAUGGCAAAAAGUCUCAAGGUGUUAAUGUGAAUGAUUAAGGUCUUGGGGGGGGUGUCCCCUAUCAGACUACAGGUGUUUAGAGGCACAGAAAAAGGUGCAGUUGGGUUCUUAAUGUGAAAUGAUGAGAAGCACAACUCCAGUGUGUCUCUUUGUGUAGAAUGUCAGCAGACACCCCCUGCUAGAUGUGCUGGAUCAUGGGAAAGCAUUUCCAUUUGUUACUAGAUUGUUCAGAAGUUUUAAUUUAUGAUGGGUGUGGUGGCUCAUGCCUGUAGUCCCAGCACUGUGGGAGGCUGAGGCAGGAGGAUCAUCUGAGGCCAAGAGUUCAAGAUCAGCCUGGGCAACAUAGUGAUACCCUAUCUCUUAAAAAAGAAGAAGUUUUUAAAUUUGAAAUAAUAAUAGGUACUGGAUUUAUGCAAAUGUCUUU